UACAGAGGGUGCGAGCGUUGUCCGGAAUCACUGGGCGUAAAGGGCGCGUAGGCGGCCUGCUAAGUAGAGGGUGAAAUCCUGCGGCUCAACCGCAGGGCUGCCUUCUAAACUGUCAGGCUGGAGCACGGUAGAGGCAGAUGGAAUUCCCGGUGUAGCAGUGGAAUGCGUAGAGAUCGGGAAGAACACCAGUGGCGAAGGCGGUCUGCUGGGCCGUUGCUGACGCUGAGGCGCGACAGCGUGGGGAGCAAACAGG
rnacentral:rRNA from 1 species